UACGUAGGGUGCGAGCGUUGUCCGGAAUUAUUGGGCGUAAAGGGCUCGUAGGCGGCUUGUUGCGUCGACUGUGAAAACCCGCGGCUUAACCGCGGGCUUGCAGUCGAUACGGGCAGACUAGAGGCAUGCAGGGGAGAACGGAAUUCCUGGUGUAGCGGUGAAAUGCGCAGAUAUCAGGAGGAACACCGGUGGCGAAGGCGGUUCUCUGGGCAUGUCCUGACGCUGAGGAGCGAAAGUGUGGGGAGCGAACAGG
rnacentral:rRNA from 1 species